rnacentral:lncRNA from 1 species
GAUGUAUUAUGCAUAUAUUAUUUAAACAUAUAGAUAUAGAAUUAAAUACAUAGAUAUAAUAAAUGUGUAAGUUUAUAUAUGAACUUAUAUAUAAGCUUAUGUAUUUAUCAUAUUUAUAUAUUCCUCCAUUAACUCAACAAAUAUUUGGUACCUACUAUGGGCCAGAUCCUUGUUGGUAGCAUUUGCUGGAGGGGGCAGGAAAUGAAUUAAUAAAUGAAUGAUUCAGUUCUGUGCUAAAAGCAGCUCAUUGCUUAGUGGAAAAGAAAAGAACUGAACCAUUAAUUCUGCUUCAGUGAGGAAAAAUGCAAAGUAUAAAAUGUUAUUAAAACGAGAAUAGAGAGUUAUACUCCUGACCAUCAACUCUGUGUCAUUUCUUCAGGUCAUCAUGAAUCAUAUGCCCUGUCUUUUAUUUACCAUCACCUUGUGUUGGGGGGGAUAAAGACAAAACAAAUCUUACCUUAAAUGUAUAUAGUGAUUGUAGGUUGCGUCUUAGUUUCAGAAAUGUAUGUGAAGAAAAAUCAAAAUGUAGGCGGGUGUGGUAGUGCACACCUGUAAUCCCAGCAACUUGGGAGGCUGAGGCAGGAGGAUUGCAAGUUCAAAGCCAGCCUCAGCAAAAGUGAGGCCUUAAGCAACUCAGUGAGACCCUGUCUCUAGAUUAAACACAAAAUAGAGCUGGAUGUGGCUCAGUGGGCGAGUGCCCCUGAGUUCAAUCCCAGAUACCCACAUACACACAAAAAGACCUUUCACAACAGGAUGACUAAUUAUUUUGAUUUAAAUGCCCAUAGAGAACCAAAUAAAUUCUUGCAUGUACACACACAAGACUUAGCUUGCUUAUACUUAUUGGAAACACUUCCUUCCAAGGAUGGCUCAGGCUCAUCCCACCAGCUGUAGGAUUGCAAAAGUGAGGAUUUUUUUUAAAAGGAAUUUCAGUGUAAGGGAAAAGAAAACUGUUCCCCCUAACUUUAAUGUACAUCACAUUCACCUGGAGGGCUUGUUAAAACACCAAGUCUUAACCUCUCUUCCCUAAUUUCUGGUUUAUUAGGUCAAGAAUGGGGUCUAGGAACUUUUUUUUGGCACCAGUGUCACUUUUAGUGUCGGUUUCCAAGGCCUCCCUUAAUUAUGUCUGCCUGAAUACUUGAGAACAUCUCCUGUGUCCUUGACCAACCGGAAUCUCUUCUCUCUCUGCCUCUUGGUAUCCGGUUCACUGUGCUGGACUCAAGAACUUACUUUGAGAACUGACGGGUUCCCUGAGGGGUGCUAAGAACUUAUGCCAGCACCAUCAGAUGGGCAGAGUGGUCUAUGGGUACCAGCUUUGUGGCAUUUAGGUGUCCCACCAUCCCUGUGAGAUGCGGACUGUGGUCAUUCUUGCAUCCCAGAGGAGGAAACUGAAGCAAAGAGUUUAAGUGACCUUCCCUCUUAGCUGAACAAGAAUUCAGUCCAGCCCGUGGGACCCGAGUGUAGGCACUUGAAAGCCCAGUUGUCCAAUCCUUGGGUCAACAGCAAGAGAAAGCAAACUAGAGCAACCCCAUCCACCACGAUCCAGAAGGCCCCCCUAUUUUCCCCUCAGACGCCUGCUUCCCUCCUAAUCUAAAAAAAAAACAACAAACAAACCAGAAUACCUAUUAAUCAGAAACAAAGAAUCCCUGCCAUCGCAUGUUGCUGUUUGUGCCAGCAUCGCCAGGGAGAAGCUCCACCAUCCAUUAUUUUGAUGGGUGCUGAAGGGAGGAGAAGGAUGAGAUCAGCCCUCAAUGGAUCCAGAAAUUAUUGGCAAGUACCACCAGAAGGGGUGUGUUUCACUGAGGAGAAGCCACGUGUGUGGUGAGCAGUUAUCUGCUUUGAAAUGCAACCUCAGACAAAAGUCUUACAAAGGGAAAAAAUGAACAUCAGGAAUGGAGAAGGAAGAUGACCAGGGGGAAAGGCUGUGCUCUCCCUUAUCGGAGAUCUCCAGGGUUGCGCCAUAUUUCUGCAAUACGAGAGGACUGAAGUGCAGAUGACUUCCAACCUUCUGAUCCAGGUGUGUUCCUAGGCAGAAAAAAAAUGACCCUACAUUUGUCUGUUUGCAGUGAUAAAAGGUUAAAAAAAAAAAAAAAAAGGCCGGGUGUGGUGGUGCAAGCCUGUAAUCCCAGCAGAUUGGGAGGCUGAGGCAGGAGGAUCACAAGUUUAAGGUCAGCUUUAACAAAAGUGAGGCCCUAAGCAACUCAGUGAGACCCUGUCUCCGAAUAAAGUACAAAAUAGGGCUGGGGAUAUGGCUCAGUGGUUAAGUGCUCCUGAGUUCAAUCCCCGAUAAACCCCCAACCCCAAAAAUAAGGUAUAAAAAUUUUUUUGUUGUUUUUAUUUCCAGAUAAAUGUAAAAAUUCUGCAUGAAAUUGAGCUAAAACUGCAGCUUGGCAGGAAGAGUGUUUAUGAACGGUUGGGAGGGAUGACAAGAGCGUGGUGUCUUUUUUUCUGUGCUUUUCCUUUGGAAGCGUGUGUGUUUAGAUUUGCUCGACAACCUGCCAGGUGGUUUUGUGUGGGAUGGGUCUUGACUCCAGUGUAUUUUGUGUUUAUUGUUUUAGAAUCACUGGCCCCAAUAAGUCUUCCUGUUCAACAUGGAUUUUCCAGUAAAUGGCAAAGGCCCCCUUAAAUCUGUCUGCAGUUCUCAAGAGACUGGUCCAAAGCCUUCCCAGGAACCAUGGGUGGGCAUCUAUGGAAGGGCUCACGGUCAUGUUUAUUUACUCACUUUGGAGGUAGGAGCCUGCCCUUCAGCUCAGAGAAGGAACACAGACGGUGAUCUGCAGUUGAAAGCUAGUGAAAGCUAAAUGGUUGGGCUUGAGGGGGCUGGCGGGAACCCAAAUCCGGCCAAGGUCAGCAUGGAGUGCUGCUAGGGCUGCAUUAGCAUUAUCAUGGUCAACAUUAUUUCCCCAAUUAUCCUUUAAUGGGUCCAAUUUACCUUCAAGUCUGUAACUAAGACACAGAUUCCUUAUCUUCUGUUCCGCAGUCCUCAGACAGAUCCAAAGCAAAUUUCAGCCUUCCCAGCUCUGAAGCCAAUCUUGAUCUUUUCCAACAGUUAUUCUGUUCUUAUUUUUGUGUCUGCCUCAGACUGGCCAUUAAACCCAGACUCCCACUGUAUAACCAUGAUUGUUCAUAUAGAUACGGGCUACUCAGCUUGUAAGUCCAUGGAAGGUGCCUUUGUAAAGUAAUGUUCAGUGUCAUUUUGGGUAUAGGUGAUGCCACUAGGCUUGGAUACAAAGCUUUUUUAAAAUCGAGAAAUUCUCAGUAGGGCGAAAUGUCAUACACCUAUAAUCCCAGCCACUGGGGAGGCUGAGAGAGGGGGAUCCUGAGUUCAAAGCCAGCCUCAGCAAAAGUGACAACAAGUCUCUAAAUAAAAUACAC